AGCUCAGCCCAAGCCUCUAGUUAAAAGGACUUCAUGUCUGUUCUCCUCUUUCAACUUACUGACUUUUUCCCCAGGUGGACAGAAGCAGCGAAUUGCAAUUGCUCGAGCUCUGCUCAAGAAUCCCAAAAUUCUUCUCUUAGAUGAAGCAACAAGUGCUUUGGAUGCUGAAAAUGAGUACCUAGUGCAGGAAGCCCUGGACCGGCUGAUGGAAGGGAGGACAGUUCUAAUCAUUGCCCAUCGUCUGUCUACCAUUCAGAAUGCUGAUUUUGUGGCCGUCCUCGGUCAGGGCAAAAUUCUCGAAUGUGGAAAACAUGAGGAACUCCUUGCAAAUCCAAAUGGACUUUUCAGGAAACUAAUGCAGAAACAAGCUUUUCUCCAGAACAGCGAUACUUUUGCACUAGACAUACAAUCCAGAGAAAAUAAUCUAUUAAAAGAAAACGUAUGAGGGAAUGUACGAACGAUGGAAGCUUACAAACUAUGAAGAAUGUAACUUAUGUUCCAGUAAUGUAAAGUAAAUGUUAUAUUUUUCCAAAAUGUACAAAGUAUCCUUUUGAAACUUAAAUGUGUUCAAACUUUGUAUCGAAAGCUUUUUGAUAAUUAUUGUCACUUUUUAAAAUGUGUGUCGCAUUCAGACAGUGUCAGAGGACAGAUGUUUGUGCGUUGUGUCACAUUAACCGAGGCCGUUUAGAACCAUGCUUGCUGUAGUGCACUGUAUGACAAUGUGCUAUGUUCUCAAGUAAAUUCAGUAUUUUAAGGGGAA